CAGUGGCGUAUAUUAAAGUUGUUGCAGUUAAAAUGCUCGUAGUUGAAGUUCGGAUGCAGCAGAGCUUGGAAACGCUGUUAUGGUGCUUCCGUUGCUUUUGCUUGUCCACAGUGCGUUGCAAGUACGUAUGUGCUUGUGCGUGCAUUUUACUUUGAGAAACAUAGGGUGUUCCACGCAUGUUACGGCAUGAAUAUUCCAGCAUGGGAUAAUCUGGUACGACUUCCAAUCUGCCAUUUUGGUUCGUAGGUUGGAAGUAAUGAUUAAUAGGGACUGUCGGGGGCAUUGGUAUUUGACUGUCAGAGGUGAAAUUCUUAGAUUCGUUGAGGACCAACCACUGCGAAAGCAUUUGUCAAGGAUGUCUCCAUUA
rnacentral:rRNA from 1 species